rnacentral:rRNA from 1 species
AGUGAACGCUGGCGGUAGGCCUAACACAUGCAAGUCGAACGGCAGCACAGUAAGAGCUUGCUCUUACGGGUGGCGAGUGGCGGACGGGUGAGGAAUACAUCGGAAUCUACUUUUUCGUGGGUGAUAACGUAGGGAAACUUACGCUAAUACCGCAUACGACCUACGGGUUAAAGCAGUGGAUCUUCGGACCUUUCGCGAUUGUAUUAGCCGAGGUCGGAUUAGCUAGUUGGCGGGGUAAAGGCCCACCAAGGCGACGAUCCGUAGCUGGUCUGAGAGGAUGAUCAGCCACACUGGAACUGAGACACGGUCCAGACUCCUACGGGAGGCAGCAGUGGGGAAUAUUGGACAAUGGGCGCAAGGCUGAUCCAGCCAUACCGCGGGGGUGAAGAAGGCCCUCGGGUUGUAAAGCCCUUUUGUUGGGAAAGAAAAGCAGCAGGUUAAUACCCCGCUGUUCUGACGGUACCCAAAGAAUAAGCACCGGCUAACUUCGUG